ACGGGGGGAGCAAGCGUUGUUCGGAUUUACUGGGCGUAAAGGGCUCGUAGGCGGUUUGUCACGUCGGGAGUGAAAACUCAGGGCUCAACCCUGAGCGUGCUUCCGAUACGGGCAGACUAGAGGUAUGCAGGGGAGAACGGAAUUCCUGGUGUAGCGGUGGAAUGCGCAGAUAUCAGGAGGAACACCGGUGGCGAAGGCGGUUCUCUGGGCAUUACCUGACGCUGAGGAGCGAAAGCAUGGGGAGCGAACAGGA
rnacentral:rRNA from 1 species